UACGGAGGGUGCAAGCGUUAUCCGGAUUUACUGGGCUUAAAGGGUGUGUAGGCGGGCUUUUAAGUCAGUGGUGAAAUCUCCGGGCUCAACCCGGAAACUGCCAUUGAUACUAUUAGUCUUGAAUUUUGUUGAGGUAGGCGGAAUAAGUCAUGUAGCGGUGAAAUGCAUAGAUAUGACUUAGAACACCAAUUGCGAAGGCAGCUUGCUGGACAAAUAUUGACGCUGAGGCACGAAAGCGUGGGGAGCAAACAGG
rnacentral:rRNA from 1 species